GCACUGCUGACGAGUCCCAAAUAAGAGGAAACAGCUGUCCACUGC
rnacentral:hammerhead_ribozyme from 1 species